rnacentral:rRNA from 2 species
UGGGGAAUAUUGCACAAUGGGGGAAACCCUGAUGCAGCGACGCCGCGUGAAGGAAGAAGUAUCUCGGUAUGUAAACUUCUAUCAGCAGGGAAGAAAAUGACGGUACCUGACUAAGAAGCCCCGGCUAACUACGUGCCAGCAGCCGCGGUAAUACGUAGGGGGCAAGCGUUAUCCGGAUUUACUGGGUGUAAAGGGAGCGUAGACGGAGCAGCAAGUCUGAUGUGAAAGGCGGGGGCUCAACCCCCGGACUGCAUUGGAAACUGUUGAUCUUGAGUACCGGAGAGGUAAGCGGAAUUCCUAGUGUAGCGGUGAAAUGCGUAGAUAUUAGGAGGAACACCAGUGGCGAAGGCGGCUUACUGGACGGUAACUGACGUUGAGGCUCGAAAGCGUGGGGAGCAAACAGG